GGGUUGUGAGGUUAAGCGACUAAGCGUACACGGUGGAUGCCCUGGCAGUCAGAGGCGAUGAAGGACGUGCUAAUCUGCGAUAAGCGUCGGUAAGGUGAUAUGAACCGUUAUAACCGGCGAUUUCCGAAUGGGGAAACCCAGUGUGAUUCGUCACACUAUCAUUAACUGAAUCCAUAGGUUAAUGAGGCGAACCGGGGGAACUGAAACAUCUAAGUACCCCGAGGAAAAGAAAUCAACCGAGAUUCCCCCAGUAGCGGCGAGCGAACGGGGAGCAGCCCAGAGCCUGAAUCAGUGUGUGUGUUAGUGGAAGCGUCUGGAAAGGCGCGCGAUACAGGGUGACAGCCCCGUACACAAAAAUACACAUACUGUGAGCUCGAUGAGUAGGGCGGGACACGUGGUAUCCUGUCUGAAUAUGGGGGGACCAUCCUCCAAGGCUAAAUACUCCUGACUGACCGAUAGUGAACCAGUACCGUGAGGGAAAGGCGAAAAGAACCCCGGCGAGGGGAGUGAAAAAGAACCUGAAACCGUGUACGUACAAGCAGUGGGAGCACGCUUAGGCGUGUGACUGCGUACCUUUUGUAUAAUGGGUCAGCGACUUAUAUUCUGUAGCAAGGUUAACCGAAUAGGGGAGCCGAAGGGAAACCGAGUCUUAACUGGGCGUUAAGUUGCAGGGUAUAGACCCGAAACCCGGUGAUCUAGCCAUGGGCAGGUUGAAGGUUGGGUAACACUAACUGGAGGACCGAACCGACUAAUGUUGAAAAAUUAGCGGAUGACUUGUGGCUGGGGGUGAAAGGCCAAUCAAACCGGGAGAUAGCUGGUUCUCCCCGAAAGCUAUUUAGGUAGCGCCUCGUGAAUUCAUCUCCGGGGGUAGAGCACUGUUUCGGCAAGGGGGUCAUCCCGACUUACCAACCCGAUGCAAACUGCGAAUACCGGAGAAUGUUAUCACGGGAGACACACGGCGGGUGCUAACGUCCGUCGUGAAGAGGGAAACAACCCAGACCGCCAGCUAAGGUCCCAAAGUCAUGGUUAAGUGGGAAACGAUGUGGGAAGGCCCAGACAGCCAGAAUGUUGGCUUAGAAGCAGCCAUCAUUUAAAGAAAGCGUAAUAGCUCACUGGUCGAGUCGGCCUGCGCGGAAGAUGUAACGGGGCUAAACCAUGCACCGAAGCUGCGGCAGCGACGCUUAUGCGUUGUUGGGUAGGGGAGCGUUCUGUAAGCCUGCGAAGGUGUGCUGUGAGGCAUGCUGGAGGUAUCAGAAGUGCGAAUGCUGACAUAAGUAACGAUAAAGCGGGUGAAAAGCCCGCUCGCCGGAAGACCAAGGGUUCCUGUCCAACGUUAAUCGGGGCAGGGUGAGUCGACCCCUAAGGCGAGGCCGAAAGGCGUAGUCGAUGGGAAACAGGUUAAUAUUCCUGUACUUGGUGUUACUGCGAAGGGGGGACGGAGAAGGCUAUGUUGGCCGGGCGACGGUUGUCCCGGUUUAAGCGUGUAGGCUGGUUUUCCAGGCAAAUCCGGAAAAUCAAGGCUGAGGCGUGAUGACGAGGCACUACGGUGCUGAAGCAACAAAUGCCAUGCUUCCAGGAAAAGCCUCUAAGCAUCAGGUAACAUCAAAUCGUACCCCAAACCGACACAGGUGGUCAGGUAGAGAAUACCAAGGCGCUUGAGAGAACUCGGGUGAAGGAACUAGGCAAAAUGGUGCCGUAACUUCGGGAGAAGGCACGCUGAUAUGUAGGUGAAGCGACUUGCUCGUGGAGCUGAAAUCAGUCGAAGAUACCAGCUGGCUGCAACUGUUUAUUAAAAACACAGCACUGUGCAAACACGAAAGUGGACGUAUACGGUGUGACGCCUGCCCGGUGCCGGAAGGUUAAUUGAUGGGGUCAGCGCAAGCGAAGCUCUUGAUCGAAGCCCCGGUAAACGGCGGCCGUAACUAUAACGGUCCUAAGGUAGCGAAAUUCCUUGUCGGGUAAGUUCCGACCUGCACGAAUGGCGUAAUGAUGGCCAGGCUGUCUCCACCCGAGACUCAGUGAAAUUGAACUCGCUGUGAAGAUGCAGUGUACCCGCGGCAAGACGGAAAGACCCCGUGAACCUUUACUAUAGCUUGACACUGAACAUUGAGCCUUGAUGUGUAGGAUAGGUGGGAGGCUUUGAAGUGUGGACGCCAGUCUGCAUGGAGCCGACCUUGAAAUACCACCCUUUAAUGUUUGAUGUUCUAACGUUGACCCGUAAUCCGGGUUGCGGACAGUGUCUGGUGGGUAGUUUGACUGGGGCGGUCUCCUCCUAAAGAGUAACGGAGGAGCACGAAGGUUGGCUAAUCCUGGUCGGACAUCAGGAGGUUAGUGCAAUGGCAUAAGCCAGCUUGACUGCGAGCGUGACGGCGCGAGCAGGUGCGAAAGCAGGUCAUAGUGAUCCGGUGGUUCUGAAUGGAAGGGCCAUCGCUCAACGGAUAAAAGGUACUCCGGGGAUAACAGGCUGAUACCGCCCAAGAGUUCAUAUCGACGGCGGUGUUUGGCACCUCGAUGUCGGCUCAUCACAUCCUGGGGCUGAAGUAGGUCCCAAGGGUAUGGCUGUUCGCCAUUUAAAGUGGUACGCGAGCUGGGUUUAGAACGUCGUGAGACAGUUCGGUCCCUAUCUGCCGUGGGCGCUGGAGAACUGAGGGGGGCUGCUCCUAGUACGAGAGGACCGGAGUGGACGCAUCACUGGUGUUCGGGUUGUCAUGCCAAUGGCACUGCCCGGUAGCUAAAUGCGGAAGAGAUAAGUGCUGAAAGCAUCUAAGCACGAAACUUGCCCCGAGAUGAGUUCUCCCUGACUCCUUGAGAGUCCUGAAGGAACGUUGAAGACGACGACGUUGAUAGGCCGGGUGUGUAAGCGCAGCGAUGCGUUGAGCUAACCGGUACUAAUGAACCGUGAGGCUUAACCUUACAACGCCGAAGGUGUUU
rnacentral:rRNA from 1 species